GCAUGACAUUUAAUGUAUGGUUCCCUGGGCAGAGGUCUGGGGGCCCAGGUUGACUAAGGAAGACCGUACCGGGCCAGAGCAGAAAUGCAGCAACCAAAAGGUCUCGUGUUGAGC
rnacentral:SRP_RNA from 1 species